AUUGAACGCUGGCGGCAGGCUUAACACAUGCAAGUCGAGCGGUAACAGAGAGAAGCUUGCUUCUCUGCUGACGAGCGGCGGACGGGUGAGUAAUGCCUAGGAAUCUGCCUAGUAGUGGGGGAUAACUUGCCGAAAGGUAAGCUAAUACCGCAUACGUCCUAUGGAGAAAGGAGGGGACCUUCGGGCCUUUCGCUAUUAGAUGAGCCUAGGUCGGAUUAGUUAGUUGGUGAGGUAAUGGCUCACCAAGACCGCGAUCCGUAACUGGUCUGAGAGGAUGAUCAGUCACACUGGAACUGAGACACGGUCCAGACUCCUACGGGAGGCAGCAGUGGGGAAUAUUGGACAGUGGGGGGAACCCUGAUCCAGCCAUGCCGCGUGUGUGAAGAAGGUCUUAGGAUUGUAAAGCACUUUAAGUUGGGAGGAAGAGCAGUUAACUAAUAUUUGACUGUUUUGACGUUACCGACAGAAUAAGCACCGGCUAACUUCGUGCCAGCCGCCGCCGUAA
rnacentral:rRNA from 1 species